rnacentral:misc_RNA from 1 species
UACGGAGGGUGCAAGCGUUGUCCGGAAUCAUUGGGUGUAAAGGGCGCGUAGGCGGGCGCCUAAGUCUGUGGUGAAAUCUUGCCGCUUAACGGUAAAAUGGCCAUAGAUACUGGGUUUCUUGAGUAAAGAAGAGGCCGGUGGAAUUCGUAGUGUAGCGGUGAAAUGCAUAGAUAUUACGAAGAACACCAGUGGCGAAGGCGGCCGACUGGUCCGUUACUGACGCUGAGGCACGAGAGCGUGGGGAGCGAACAGG